rnacentral:rRNA from 1 species
UACAGAGGGUGCAAGCGUUAAUCGGAAUUGCUGGGCGUAAAGCGUGCGCAGACGGUUGCGUAAGUCAGAUGUGAAAGCCCCGGGCUCAACCUGGGAAUUGCAUUUGAGACUGCGUAGCUAGGGUGCGGAAGAGGGAAGCGGAAUUUCCGGUGUAGCGGUGAAAUGCGUAGAUAUCGGAAGGAACACCAGUGGCGAAAGCGGCUUCCUGGUCCAGCACCGACGUUCAGGCACGAAAGCGUGGGGAGCAAACAGG